CACACCAAGAGCCCCAAGUCUCGGGAUGGCGAGGGAUCAGCCGCGACCCCGGCUGCGUCCCCGGCCGCUGAUUGGCCGAGCCCGGGCGCGCUGGGCGGCUUCGACGUGCCGCCCAGCUUCACGCAGGACCUGGGUGAUGCGCCGCCGGCUGAGGGGACCGACUCUGAAAGCGAGGGGAAGUCGGCAAAAAGGAAGUCUCACAAACACUAACUGAUUACUGCGACCACAACAAAUUUUGACCAGCGACCACCUAAAGGAUAUACUAUUACAUAAAUAUGUAAUCAUUAUUUGAAUGGAAAUAAACAGUGCCUUUUCAUCUUG